UACAGAGGUCCCAAGCGUUGUCCGGAAUCACUGGGUGUAAAGGGUGCGUAGGCGGACUCGUAAGUCAGGUGUGAAAGCCUUGAGCUCAACUCAAGAAAUGCACUUGAUACUGGAUGACUAGAGGACCGGAGAGGAUAGUGGAAUUCCAGUGUAGUGGUGAAAUACGUAGAGAUUGGGAAGAACACCAGUGGCGAAGGCGGCUAUCUGGACGGUUUCUGACGCUAAGACGCGAAAGCGUGGGGAGCAA
rnacentral:rRNA from 1 species